CCGGAACUUCCGCCGCUGCGGCCGCCGCCGUAGCCGUAGCCGCCGCCGCCGGAACUGCAGAGUGAGGGUCACGUUCGGUUAACGCUAACGUUGGAAAACGAUUUUAUUGAGCCUCUGCAGAAUUCCCUGGGUAUACAAAGGUGACUAAGACAAUUCUGGCCAUCAAGGAGUUUACAGUCUACUUGGAGAGGCAAACAAACAAACCCACGAAUCAGAGGUCUCAGCCUUUCUGUGGUUUGUUCUGCCAAGACCUCAUGUUACCCUCCCGUUGGGUUCAGCUGGGUAUUCAGGUCAACUCCUGGACCAUCUUGAUUUCUACGUUGACUUCAACAUGAGGUUGAAGACAAUAGAACUGGAAUUCAGAUGGUGAUUUCUUCUGUAGCUACUGCAUCACCUGAAACGCACAGAUUGAGAGCCAUGCAGGUUACCAGGAGCUCCUGGGCGUCCUACCUGCUCAUGACGCUUCUUCAUAAGGAUGAGCUCUUUCCUCAUCCCCUCCACUUCCUGUUCCAAGUCUGUUGUGACGAUGGUCAGGUCAUCCAGGGUCUUCCGGAGACCCUCAACUUCAGUUUCCAAGUCUUUCUUGAAGGAGUGUUCAUUUUCAUACCUUUGAGUAGAAGGGAGAGAAGAGUACACCUGCUGUUGGAAGGCCAUGGCCUUGUAAGGAGUCACCUUAGGUUAGAGGUGAAUCUCUUACUUUUUACAUUUAAUAGGAGCAAAUGAAUACAGGCUGUGCACCCUUUGUAUGUCUGUUUCAUGCAGGUUUUUCUAUGAUGGUGACUCAAUUUUUUUUUUUUAAUUAGAGAGAAUGAAAUAAUAAACAGCCAUAUACCCAUCACUUAGAAUUAGCAACCAUUAACCAUUAUGCCAUAUUUGCUUCAUCUAUAUUUUGUAUUUUACAGUAUAUUAUAGACAUUAUGACAUUUUACCCCUAAGUACUUCCAAAUGUAUUUUUUAAGAAAAAGACAGUUUUCUAAAUAAGCAUGAUAACAUUAUCACACGUAAAAAAAUCAAUAAUAACUCUUUAAUAUCAUCUAAUUCUUGGUGCAUAUUCAAAUUUCCCCAUGCCAAAAAGUGUAUUUUGCAUCUGGUUUGUUUAUACAAGGUCCAGUCAGGUAUUAGUUCCUGUUAUGCCUUUUAAUUAUAUUUUGGUAUGAUUUUACACGUUGGUAAUGGAGAGAUAAGUUUUCCUUCUAUAAAACAGAAACAAAAGCAGCAGUAACCCCCAAAACAAAAUAGAACAAAACACCAAACAACCCCCCCCCCCCGCCUUCCCCAACACUGUGAAGCAGGAACCCACUUAAGGCUGAAGUCAUCCACCGCCAUCCUGGCGUUGUCAAUGAGCAGGAUGAUCUGAGCGUUCAUCAUCUUGCCAUCUGCUAUCUGUAAAACAGGCACCAGGAGUCAUUUCAGUUGUACAAACCGCACAGGAGCGCUGUAUUGCUGCCCAGCUCCUGGGAAGCUGCCUUGUCAGCCUAGAUGACGUCUUCUUCUAGCAAUGGAAUAACGAGUAAUAAAAUCCGUAAGUAUUUAUUGAGCAUUUACUAGGUGCAAAGUGCAGGAAUGAUUUUACAGUAAGGAUGUGGUCUGCAGUCAGUUUCACUGCCUUUUUUUUCUAUGUUGACUUGACCGGUGAGGAUGGAUGCAGCUGCUCCAAGAGUGAUAUAAGGAGCAAGAGAGUGAUUAUUGAAACUGCCUUUAAAUUUUCUAGUACAACGCACGCAUGUAUUAAGCUCAUCCACAUCUGAAGAUGUUAAGUUUAUGUUCUGACUUCCUAUUGUGAAUAGUAAUUUGGCUCUCCUAAAGUGCAGUAGUUUUUAGAUGAACAUAAUUCUUCCUUGUGGUAGCGUUCAUGUUUCUGAUCAGUGACACUGGGCAAAGUAUCACUGAUACAGAGCUUCAUUAAUGUUAGUUUGUCAAACUAAUUUUAAAUGUACUUUAUAGUGCAUUUAAACUAAUUUUAAAUGUAUUUCCUAAUAGUCAUCACAUACCAUAAUUUUUUUUUGUUGCCCCAAAUGACCAUAGCCACACAUACAACGUGUGGGUGGGUGUGUAUGUAUUUGUAACUUAUUCCAUGAUGAGAAUGCCCCAAUUGGAGCUUUUAAAAUAUUAACUGAAAUAAUUCUUUACCAUCAAAUGAAGUAGCUUAAUAAACUUUAACUCUAUUAAAGCUUUAACUGUCUCUGGUUAAAGACUUUCACUAGAUGUUUAUAUAAUUUUUUACUUUAAAAAGAGAAUUUUUGUUGGAAGUGUCUACAGGAGCGAUUGGGUAUAUAAAUAUAUGAUUUGUAAAUACUUCCGGGUAGUUAUAAUCAGAGAAAUACACAUAUGAGAGAAAUAAGAUAUGAAAUGCACAUUCAAUGUAUGUCACUGCCUUGGGGAAAAUUGGGUGCAAGAUAAUCUCAGUGUCAAAAGUGUAAUACUACUUUUGUACCAAGUAUCGUGCUGAACUAGGAACAGCGAGAUUUUCCUUUUACUUCCUGUUAACUGACCAUUGGCCUGAACUCAGGUCAGUCAUUCCACUCCCUGGACUUCAGUUUCAUCAUCUGUUAAAAAAGGAGUUUGUCCUAGAAACAGAUGACCUUAGAGGUACUAGCUCCAAACUUCUGUAGCUUAGUUGGAGCUAGAGAAUCCUGUGACAUUCCCAUUAUAUUUAGGCAGUUAAUUCAUAUAUUUAGAAAGGAUUUUUUUUUUUAGGACAGAAUUAUACCGCAAUACAAAGGCACCUUUUAAAAAUCUGGUCCUGUUCAAAGCUCCACUGAUUACUCGGAAUUUAGUGUCACAAGUACACAAUAACAGUAUUCAGAGGUGGUAAGGAGCUGGUCUGGAACUCACAGAGCAGGGCCUGGCGUCCUGUUCCAGUGCCCACCCGCUGAGUGAGCUUGGCUAUGUCUCAGUUUCUUCAUCCACAAAAUGGCAAUAGGAACAAUAGCCACUUCACCGAAGAGUUAUGAGAAUUAGAGUAGAAGAGAUUAAAUAAAAUAAUGUAAAAAUACUUAGCCUUUGUGGGCACACUGUAGGCACUCUGAAAAAUCAGUCAAAACUAACUUAGUUCAGGAAAACAUAAAGUGUUUAAUUUUCUUUUUUAAAAGCUAGCACUUUUGUUAUUAGAGCCAGUGUCUGCAUUGGAUACACCCUGAGAUGCAUCCUCACACGUCUGCUGUUCGUGGUGGGAGACAGCCAGGCUUGCUGCCCCUGCCGAACUUCUUCCUUGUCUUGGUGGAUUCCAAAUAGUACUGUGACUACUUUCUUUGCUCUAAAAAAGGAUUCUGCAGGUAUUUCCUUGUCUUCCCUCUACAGUGCUGCUUUGGGAUUUCUUACCUUUCCAUCCAGGCUCUUUAUUCGUUCAUUACCUGAGCUCAUGGGGAAUGAAAAGUAGCCUCAUCCAAAAUGGCCACGGGACCCCUGCAGUUAGUCUCAGUUGUGCAUGGAGGUUUUGCUUGACAUUCAGAGAAACCAUACACUGUAUGUUCCGUGGAAUCAGGAAAAAUUAAAUAAUCCCAUCUGUGUUGGAAACACUGUUUCCACUAACAGGGGCCAAGUAAGCACUUGAUAUACAAUAUGUUUCUAGUUGGAAGACCAUGGAAUGAGCAUUAAGAACAUCAUUUUCUAUGUACUGAUACAGGAAAAUCUCCAAGGUAUAUUAAGUUGGAGGAAAAGGUGAGUUUAGUUCAUAGAAGUAUACUGAUGUCACUUCCUUUGUUGUUGCAAAUGUGUCAUGGUGAUGGAAGGUUUUACGGAUGAGGGGAGCUGGGUGAGAGGCUUAUGGAAAGUUUCUGUACCAUGUAAAUCUAACAUUACUCCACAUGAAAAGCUUAUUUGAAAUAAUGAUAAAGAUGCAGAGCAGCGUGUAUAGUUAAAAAAAAAAUUAUCGUCUUACUUACUUACUUGGCUUUUCUGAGGUAAAUUGGUAAUUUAUGCACUGCAGAGUCCACAGUGAGGGGUCUGAUUCCCCCAGGUAGCCUUCUCACAGUACAUGAGUUGAUAUGGCUCAUAUUUAAAAACCGAAACUAUUUCCCACUCUUUGGGUUACCUGAUACAAUAUUAUGCUACAAACACUACUUCUGAGACAUCCUUCAUGGUAAUGAAUGAGUAAGGAUGGAUUGAGAAAUAAUGUAUAAGGCAUAGGUCUUGCAUUGUGUAUUAUAAUUAAUCACCUGGAUUCUCCCCAAGGCCCUGAGUUCAUUCUUUUAAAAGAAAUCUAUUUGGUGCAUUAGUGCUGCAUCAUUGCUCCAGGGUGUGUAAUCUCCUACUGGGGGGAGGGAAAUAGAAUUUUUGACCAUAAACCAAAUGUGCCAAAUACAGUACUAUUGAGAGCCAUUCUAAUAUCCUGAUAUUUAUAUGACAAUAUCCAACUCUGUUUCAAAAGGAAUGGAUUAAUUUUUGAACUCAAUUUCUUAUACACUUUUGGAGUAACAUUUAAUAUCCCUAAAGUGGGGGCAGGAGAGUGCUGUGUCUACUCAGAACAUUUCAUGAGUCAUGAAAGGCCCAGGAAGGGAUCAGCCCUGGGCAUUGUGGGACCUCUGUGGGCCCCUGUUUUCUCACCUGCAAACGGGGGAGGCUGGUUACACAGACAGCCUGAACUUCAGAGAGUUGUUUUCUUCAAACACAGACAAACAACCAGGUAAGAAAUCCAGGAAAGAGUGGAAUUCCGAGCUGAAGAAUCUCCCUAUGUAGUGUCAGAAUGCAGAAUCGGGGGCUGCCUUGAGAGUGGGCCAGCCACCCCUCCUCGUCAUUGUCCCCACUCACUAUUCUCAAUUCUGUUCCAAAGAGUUUGGGCAACCACUUGGUCUCAGCCUCUGCAUCUAUAAAUUGUGGAUAAAACAAUGCUUCACAGAAUGAGAUAAUGGGUAUGAAAUAUGUGUUGUAUGAUUAACAGUGCAAACGUAAUGCAUUAUCUUUAUUAAUUAACAGCAUCAUUUUUGCAGGAGGGAGACUGGCUAACACACUAUAUGAAAAUUAUAGGGCCAUUGGAAACAGGCCUGGGUUAUAACCCCAGCUCAGCCUCUUACUGGUGGCUUUGGAUGGCUUCUUCACUUCUCUGAGUUUCAAUUUCUUUCUAGAGUUGUUGUGAGAGUUAAAUCAGUUGAUAUAGAACAUUUCCAUCAGAAAUGUUCGCGGACAGUGCUGAUAAGUGGAUUAAAUACCCGUCACGAUGCCUGGCAUACAAUAAGUACUCAAUAAAUAUUUCCCUUCCUUUCCCUUCUUCACCCUACUGUCAGCUAAUAAAUUAUGUGAAUAGGUCUAACCUGACGUUUCUUUAGGGAGUUACGUUCUCAGCUGCCCAUUUGCAAAAAUCUUCUAGUCUCUCCAUUCUAAAACCAAAACGACUUUAUUAAUAAAAACAGCGUGGUGAGGUUUGUUGAAUCACUUUUUUUUUUGGUAAAGACAAACAUGUACUAUAUAGUUAAGGUAAUUACACAGUCAGUUAUUAGGUUGAUUAUUCAAUAAUUAGGGUUCAUUAUAAGGACAGAUUUCUAUUAUCUUGAUUGGUCCUUCCUAUAUUCAAGCCUGGACAACUGAAUGCUGAGAAAUAAUACCAUAUAAAUACUGGAAACCUGUGAUGCCCUUUCUAGGAUACGUUAAGUAAGAUCUUACAGGAAAUUUUCUGAGACCACUUUACAUAAGAGGGAAUUUAUGUAGCUUUAAAAUAUAACCUAAAAGGUGACUGGAUUCCCUCUGCUUCUAACCAGUGUUUUGAAGGUGUAGUUUUUUUUUUUUGAAUGUAUGUCCCAGAAAGAUUAGCUUUUUUAAUGUUGAAAAGUUGUUUAUUUUUUUGAAGAAUUCUCCCUAAUCCAGCCUAACUCUAAGAUUCCAAAAAUUAUCCUCAUUUUAUAAUGUAUUUUCCUAGCAACACGCCAUCUUCAGAACUGGGAGCAGCUAGAAUUCAGAACUUCUAGCAGCUCCCAAGAGGCAAUAUCCAGGGAUAUCACAAUGAUGUAUCUGCUAGUGGAGUGACAGCUUUUAGGUGUGAUCUCCAAAAUAGUACAAUUCAGCCUUUCUUUGAUGGCUGAUCACUCUGUCGCCAGGACUUUGAGGUGGAGAGGAACUGAUGUCAUGAGAAAGUAAAUGCUCCCUUGUGCCUUGUGCACUAAGCAUGAGGCAUAAAAAUGCAGCCUGAUCAUUACAAUCGUGUCGUUGGAUUGUAAGUGAUUCCGACAGCAGCUGGUUGCCUUACGUUGUUUAGACUUUCUAUAUAAUUUAUGUAUAAAGAUUAUUAUACCAAACAUUAUUGAUAUUAUUAUACCAAGUCCAAAUUUAAGGUAUGAUAUGAAAAUGUCUUUGAAUACCUUUGUUCAUGAUGACUUGAAGCUCUUUUGCCAUUUUCCUGGAAAUUGUCUUUGUACUGAUUUCUCCUCCCACAAACCCCUAGAAACGCAGCCCCCUCUGAAGUUCCAGGAUCAGCCGGGAUCUUACCUGCUCCUGCAGGUGGCUGAUGUUUUCCUCAUAUUGGGAGUAAUCUUGCUUACUGCCCGGAUCUCUCUGCUGAUGCCACUUGAAGAUGCAACUUUCGAGUUUCGUGUUGGCCUCCUCCAGGGCGCGUACCUUGUCCAGAAGAAUGCUUUGGAGAAAUGUACAAAGAUAUUAGAGGAGCGGCACAGCAUUAAUUAGUUUUCUGCCCUGAGAAAGAAGACAUUGUAAUAAAAUUCACUCUGUCUCUGAGCUAUACACCCGCUGUCUGCCCCUGGUAAGUUUUGAAUGAUUCAUGCCUCAAGUUCCUCCUUCUUAAGAUGAGCAGUACAGAAAAUUCACGUAGAGAACACAGAACACUCUGGUACAUUGGAAGCACUCAAUAAAUGUUAAUUGUUGUUAUUGUUGCUAUAAAAAGAUGACUCCAGAAGGUUAUGGAGCAUAUUUACGUGUUCAAACUAUAAGUUAAGGUAUAAGUCUAAAUAUAUACUAUCUUUACAUCAGUUAUGUGCCUUGAGGCUUGAAGUACAGCACGGAAAUUUGAUUUCAUGUUGAAACGUGAUUUAAACACUCAUGACUUUGUGUAUGUCUAUCUGCAGUUUUGAUCUUGGUGUUUUAUGAAGAAAAUACAUGACCCCCCCAAUUUUCCUUUGUUUUAAUUGUAGGCAGAUAUGGUAGGCAGAAUAAUCCCCCUCCCCAAGAUAUCUAUCUCCUCAUACCUAGAACCUGUGCAUACGUAUGUUACAUGGCAAAGGGGAAUUAAAGAUGCAGACAGAAUUAAGGUUGCUAGUAAGCUGGCCUUGCUUGGGAGGUUUUCUUGAAUUAUUCAGGUGGGUCUGAUGUAAUCACACGUGUCUUUUUAAAGUGGAAGAGGGAGAAGGAAGAGUCAGUCAGUGUCAGGGAGGAGAUAUGGUGAAGGCAGGGCUUAGAGUGAUGAGGCUGCUGACUUUGAAGAUGGAAGGGGGACACAAGCCAAGGAAUGUGGGAAGCUCCAAAAGGCAGGGAAACGGAUUCUCUUUGAGGGUCUCUAGGAAGGAACACGGUCCUGCUGAAAUCUUGGUUUUAGCCUGGUGAGACUCCAGACCACACACUUACAGUCAAUUACUCUAUAACAAAGGAGGCAAGAAUAUGUCAUGGGGAAAAAUUCUCUUGUUUUGAGCCACUAAGUUUGUGCUAAUAUUUUGCAUUGCCAAUAAAAAAAUUAAUAUGUGUGUGUGUGUGUGUGCACCUGUAACAUACAAAUAGGAACUCUAGCAGUUGAUUUUUUGGCUGAAGAUUAAAUUAAGGUGGAUAGAAUAUUUUUCCAUGUCACUUACAAAACAUAUAUUUUCAACACACAUAUGUAGCCUGGUUUUUAAAAUUAUUAUCAUAACAGCAAAGAUGGUUGCAGUGACUCUUUCAUAAACCCUACAUUAUCCAAAUUAUAGGCAUAUUUUUGAUUUGCAAAUUAAUUUAUGCAAUAUAUCUCAGAAAAUUUGAAUUUAAAUCACAUUCACUUGAACAUUUCACAAGUGAUUCUGUUGGAAAGUAUAAAAUUACGAAAAAAACCCAAGGCUUUUCUUGAAGAUCCAGGGCAUACAUGGGUACCAUGAUUAGGGUGGAUGUGAAUAUUGGUCUUUUAUUUACUCCUGAGCCCAUCUUCCUCCUGAUCUCACCCUCCGUCCACUUUUUGUCUCCUCCGUGGACCUUUCUCUCAGGUAGACCUGAACCAUGAGUUUCUCUGUCACUAACUGCUGUUUACUGCAUAGGCUUUAUAUCAUUAAAAUGAAGAGAUGGUGCCAUAACUGGGACACUGGGCAUCACACCCGCCGUCUACUCCCAUUGAACAUUCUCUUCUACUUGCUGAGCUUCAGAUGACAUCCUGGCUUACCUUACUCUGUGGCCACAAGAGCAAACCUAUUUUCCUCCUUCUUCUUAUUUUGUCUGUUUCUCCUAGUGUCUUCCCUGAAUUCACGAAUGUAGCAUCUUCUACUUUUACUAUCUAAAUCUAGUACAUUUGAUUCCACUUCUGAUUACUAGCCCCCCAAAUUUGUAGCCUUUAUUAAAAGUGAUUCAAGAGGUGGACUUCUAAUAUCCCCUCUUAUCACCCCCUUUUCCUGUUAAUCUCAGGAUGGAUCCAAACCAGAAAGCUCCCCGCAGCGCCAGCCACCCAUGAUUGCUGAUGAAGCCACAUGUCAUCUGCUGGAAACAUGAGUAUCUGGCAGCCAUUGUAUUGACCCUGUGUUACUAUGAAUAUGAACAGGAUUAGAAAUGAAAUUGAUACUUUCCUGAUGUUUCUCCAGUCAGGACCUCUUGGUUUUAUGUCUGGCGGGGUUGAACGAUUCCGUGCCGGUCUUCAAACGGUAAAUUUCCCAGCAACCUAGUUGCUGCGUUUAGGAUGAGAUGAGAUGGAGAGGCUGUCCGGUUGGGCUGUCUGAUCUCCGAGGCGGAGCUUUACAGGUUGAUACUGCUCUGAGCAGUCACAGUGGUCCACUUCUGUUCUCAGGCUGGUAGGUUCAGAGGCACCAUAACUAUGAGAAGCGAAGGGAUUCUCAGGAGCUGACUGACAGUAACCUAAACAAAGUGGCAGAUGAAUGAGCUGGAAUGCAAAUUUAUUCAUUUACCACUGAGAAAUGAUCCACUCUGCAGCACCUUCUUUGCUGUAUCUGAGUAUCGACGAAAUUGUGAUGUGGAGGUUGUUCAGCAAAACGGACCCAGAAGAGAGAUGUGGCGUCAAUAAUGAAGCCUCGGGAACUGCUCUGACUUUCCAUGUGCUAAUGUGAUUGGGUUCAGCGCUGUUCUUACCAAGAUUAGGCUGGAUGUAAGCACCAUCAAGUUGCUUUUAGGGCUCGCCUUCCUCAGAACUCCAUGACAGGCACAUUAUUUCUCUAACUAUUUGUGCCUUUGCUUGGACUAGAGAUACUGUAUUGUCAAACUUGAUGGUAUCAGGCAUUUGGAGUAUAGAAGACUUGAAUUUGUUCAAAUUUUAACUUGACUGUUCACUAACUGUACUAUGCUGAGCGAGUUCACUUCUGUAGACCUUGGUUCACUUAUUAGUAAAAUGGGACUAAUACUGUUACAGGCCUGUUUUGAGGACUGAGUGAGAUAAUUCGAGUAAAGCACUUAGCACAGUGUCUGAGGCAUAAUAUUCAAUAGAUCUUUAAUUGACUACAAGAAGCAUUAUUCUUUCUACUUACUGGCCAUGUGGGGGGCAUUGUGGCUUCGGCACAUAUCGAACCAUUUUGAUUAUGUGUUGGGUGUACUAUGUCAACUCUGAGAGCUUUGCAAGAGCCUCCCUGCUGCUUUCUCUGCUGAGCCCAUAACUUGACUACAUGGAUUUGGAUAGAUUGAGCCCCGAGAGGAACCUCUCUCUAGGUCUUCUGGGUCAAUACAGUUAAGUUGCUUCUCCAAGGGCCACACAUAUCAAGUAGGUACAUACAGUCCUCCCCAGGGUGACUCUCAAGCACCUGCUAGGCCCCCUGGGCCACCAUAAGGAGCUGUAAUAUCUGAGAUUUUUGCCCCUGGUUUAGAAGAAAGGCCUUCUUAAUUUUGUGUGUGUGUGUGUGUGUGUGUAUGUGGUUCUUUAGAGAAAGAUACAGACAAAGGGGCCCCAAACUUGGUCUGUUUCUAGGAAAUAAGAAGAGAACCUUUAGCCUCAGAUGUUUUCUCCUGGUACCAGUAGUAUGCACAACCUGAUUGUUACAUUGUUCUAGACAGAGAGGGAGUGGUGGUGGUGAGGAAGGAGGAGAAGAUGAAGGAGGGGGAGGAAGAGGAAGAGGAAGAGGAGGAGAAGAGGGAAAGAGUGGGAGGACCAAGAAAACAUGUUCAGAAACUUUGCUUCUUGUGACACCACCUUAAUUAGGAUAUUUAGAAACACUGGCAAAUUAAAUGUUUUCUUAUGUGCAUGUAACUGAUGGCCUGUGUCUUAAAAGCAUCACCUGAGAAAACCCUCCAAAUGUGAUGCUCAACCUGAAAUGAUAAUUCAAUUAAAUAGACCUUUUCAAUGUUGCCAAAUAGGGUGGUUCCCAUUUGAACUGAGUGCGUGGGUUGUUCCCAUGAAGCUUGUGAAUCAUGCAUGAACACACUGGCCAGGUAUUUCUAGCCAGACAAAUAGCCAAAGGAUUCAUUUCCUAUAAAAGACAUUUGAUUACAGUGUCGAAACAAUGCUCUCAGGCUUGCUUGCACUGAUCCUAACCCACGGCACUGUCUUAUGGAUGCUGGUUACUUCGACCUACAAAGUCUUCCUAGCAAGGAUGGCCCUCCUCCCUUCUCAUCCGGACACUUCCCUUUUCUCCUGAAUCUUAAAUUUCUUUCUCCCUCCCCCUCAUUUGGAAAGGGCAUUUGCUAUUAAAAUGAUUUUUUUUAUUGUCAAAACUUUUAAUAUUAAAUCAAAAUGAACAGAACAGAAUUAGGGUAAACCUCCUAGGUCAACGAGUAAGAUACUUUUCCCUGCUGUUUGAUAAAUGGAAAUUACAGGAAUUAAUAACAAUGUACAGUUAUUAGCUUAUAAAGAACUUAAAGGUCUUAUUGAUGGCAUCUAAUUACUUUUAAAAGACACCAGAGAGAAGUUAGAGAAUGUCAUUUUGGGUGUCAUUUCCUAUUUACAGAUGCAGAAGACUAGAUACAAUAAGGUGAGUAAUAUCAGGGACUGUAAGGGAAACUAAAGAUGUUAGAUCAAAAAGAUCCCUGGUGAGUACCCAGAGUCCAAGCACAGAGAAGUCAAAUGAUGCUCCUAAGAACUAGACCUGAAGGUUGCUGACUUGUGGUCCAGGGUUGUUUCCAUCUGACCCAACUCCACUGCUGUCUACUAUAGAUGUGAUGAGGAGUGAGAAGUAGAAGAAAGAGCACUGGAUUCUCUCACUGACUGGGCAGUGAUGGACCAGUCACCUUUCUCUCUGAGUUGCAGUUUUUCUAUCUCUGAUAUGAAAAAGGCUAUUAGAUGCUACCAUAAUACCUUUCUGAUUUUCAAAGAGAUAUUCACACUCUCAUGUUCAUUGUGGCACUGUUCUCAAUGGCCAAGAGAAACAACCACCUCUGUUCAUUGAUGGAUGAAUGGAUAAAAAAGAAACACACACACACACAGACACACACACACGCACAAUGGAAUAUUAUUCAACAUUAAAAAAGA